AGCGAACGCUGGCGGCAGGCCUAACACAUGCAAGUCGAACGAACCUUUCGGGGUUAGUGGCGGACGGGUGAGUAACACGUGGGAACGUGCCUUUAGGUUCGGAAUAACUCAGGGAAACUUGUGCUAAUACCGAAUGUGCCCUUCGGGGAAAGAUUUAUCGCCUUUAGAGCGGCCCGCGUCUGAUUAGCUAGUUGGUUGAGGUAAUGGCUCACCAAGGCGACGAUCAGUAGCUGGUCUGAGAGGAUGAUCAGCCACAUUGGGACUGAGACACGGCCCAAACUCCUACGGGAGGCAGCAGUGGGGAAUCUUGCGCAAUGGGCGAAAGCCUGACGCAGCCAUGCCGCGUGAAUGAUGAAGGUCUUAGGAUUGUAAAAUUCUUUCACCGGGGACGAUAAUGACGGUACCCGGAGAAGAAGCCCCGGCUAACUUCGUG
rnacentral:rRNA from 1 species